AGGGCAUGCGGUGGAUGCCUUGGGAGAAGUGACCGAAGAAGGACGUAGCAGACCGCGUUAGGCCUCGGGUAGGUGUCAAGCAACCUGUGAUCCGGGGAUUUCCGAAUGGAGCAAUCCUCCCGUGUGGAGGAAACCGUGCGAACUGAAACAUCUUAGUAGCACGAGGAAAAUAGAACAAAUGUUAUUCCCUAAGUAGUGGCGAGCGAAAAGGGAGAAGUCUAAACUCUCUUGCGUGUUAAAGCCUACUGGCGUUGCGCAGGAGGGGGUUACAAGGAUAAUGCAUUUUGGGCGGUAGACCAAAUGAGGAGUUACAAAUGAUUUUCUUAGCUAAAGGUCCCUGGAAAGGGCAACCAAAGAGGGUGAUAGUCCCGUAAGCGAAAAGAAGAUCACUCUGAGCGUUAUUUCUUAAGUACGGUGGGACCCGUGAAAUCCCGCCGGAAUGUGCCAGGACCAUCUGGUAAGGCUAAAUAUCACUUCUCACCGAUAGUGAACAAGUACCGUGAGGGAAAGGUGAAAAGUCCCCCGGCGAGGGGAGUGAAAUAGUACCUGAAACCGAAUGCCCAUCUAGAUACGAGCUUUAAAAUGGCGGGGUGACGGCGUGCCUUUUGUAGAAUGAGCCAACGAGUUAAUUUCUGUUGCAAGGCUAAGAACUUAUCGUUCGCAGCCGAAGCGAAAGCAAGUGCGAAUAGCGCGAUUGAAGUAGCAGGGAUUAGACCCGAAACCGGGUGACCUAACCAUGGUCAGGCUGAAGCUGCCGUAAAAAGCAGUGGAGGGCCGCACCCACCUACGUUGAAAAGUGGGGGGAUGAACUGUGGUUAGCGGAGAAAUUCCAAUCGAACCCGGAGAUAGCUGGUUCUCCCCGAAAUAUAUUUAGGUAUAGCCUCAGAGCGUUCCCGGCAGUGGUAGAGCUACUGAAUGGAUUCGGGCGGUUUACCGUACCGCGUCCAAUUAAACUCCGAAUACUGUCCGGUUAAGCCCGGGAGUCAGAAAACGGCGGCUAAGCGUCGUAUGUCGAAAGGGAAACAGCCCAGACCGCCAUCUAAGGUCCCUAAAUUCAGCUAAGUGUGAAAGGAAGUGGAGACACAUGAACAACCAGGAGGUUGGCUUAGAAGCAGCCAUCCUUCAAAGAAAGCGUAACAGCUCACUGGUCGAUGUGUGUCUGCGCCGAAAAUUUAACGGGGCUAAGCUGAAUACCGAAGAUGCGGGCUCUGCCGUAAGGCAGAGCGGUAGGGGAGCGUUCUGCGCAGCAGUGAAGUUUAACCGCGAGGUUGGAUGGAGCGCGCAGAAGUGAGAAUGUUGGCACGAGUAGCGAGAUUAGAGUGAAAAACUCUAACGCCGAUUUAUCCGAGGUUUCCUGGGCGACGGUUUUCGACCCAGGGUUAGUCGGUCCUAAGCCGAGGCCGCAAGGCGUAGGCGAUGGACAACAGGUUAAUAUUCCUGUACUGCUUAAUGUUCGCCCAAGACAAGCAAACUGGUAGGCCAGAUGAUCGUCCCGCCAAUUUAGGGCUGGUAUCUUGGUAGUUUCUUAAUCGUUUUACGUUUAUAUGUAAUUGGUCGAGAGAUAACCAUAGGUACAAGCGUUAAAUUGGCGGGAUGGAUGCUGGUUCUGCUGGUCUGCACGUCUAGCAAUGGGGUGACGCAAGUUGGUAGGCCGAGCUGAGAUAGGUUUCUCAGUCUAAGCAACAAGUGGGUUCCUUUGGCAAAUCCGGGGAACGUCCGAGCAAUCGGAGAACCGCGAGUUGUAAUGGAAAGUUGAGUCUUUCGGGACAAGGCGAUUUGGCUGAUCUAAGUUGACCAGAAAAACCUCUAGCGAGAACAUUGAGCAUCCGUACCUAAACCGACACAGGUGGAUAGGGCGAGUAGCCUAAGGCGCACGAGAGAACCCUCUUUAAGGAACUCGGCAAAAUAGCGUCCGUAACUUCGGAAUAAGGACUGCCCCCCACUUUCUGCGCAUAGCGCUCAUGCGCUAAGCAACGCAAGUUGGUGCGUAGAAAGUGGGGGGCCGCAGCUAAAGACAUCAGGCGACUGUUUAGCAAAAACACAGGUCUCUGCUAACUCGAAAGAGGAGGUAUAGGGGCUGACGCUUGCCCGGUGCCAGAAGGGUGAACGGCGGCCGUAACUAUAACGGUCCUAAGGUAGCGAAAUUCCUUGUCGGGUAAGUUCCGACCCGCACGAAUAGCGUAACGGUCUGAUGACUGUCUCAAAGAGGGACUCGGCGAAACUACAUUGCCGGUGAAGAUGCCGGCUAUCCGCAGCAAGACAAAAAGACCCCGUGGAGCUUUACUACAACUUGACGCUGGGUUAGGAGCUGGUUUGUGUAGGAUAGGUGGGAGACUGUGAAGCCCCGACGCUAGUCGGGGUGGAGUCAACGGUGAAAUACCACCCUGACUAUUUCUUAAUCCUAACCUCUAGCCAUUAUCUGGCAGGGGGACAGCGUUUGGUGGGUAGUUUAACUGGGGCGGUUGCCUCCCAAAAAGUAACGGAGGCGUUCAAAGGUUCCCUAGUCCCGGAUGGAAAUCGGGACGAUAGCGCAAUAGUAUAUGGGAGCUUAACUGCGAGACCUACAAGUCAAGCAGAUGCGAAAGCAGGAUAUAGUGAUCCGACGGUUGCACAUGGGUGCGCCGAAGCUCAACGAAUAAAAGUUACCCCGGGGAUAACAGGCUGAUCGCUUCCAAGAGUCCAUAUCGACGAAGCGGUUUGGCACCUCGAUGUCGGCUCGUCACAUCCUGGAGCUGGAGCAGGUUCCAAGGGUUCGGCUGUUCGCCGAUUAAAGUGGCACGCGAGCUGGGUUCAGAACGUCGUGAGACAGUGGGUAAUUAUUCGCUCUAGGAGCGAAUAAUGUAUGUCGGUCUCUAUCUGCUGUGGACGAAGGAAAUUUGAGGGAAGUCGCUUCUAGUACGAGAGGACCGAAGCGAACGCACCUCUGGUGUACCGGCUGUUCUACCAAGAGCAUUGUCGGGUAGCUACGUGCGGAUGGGAUAAGCGCUGAAAGCAUCUAAGCGCGAAGCCCACCCCAAGAUAGAUUUCCAUCCCCCGCAAGGGGGGAGAAACUCCAAGGAGACCACUUGGUUGAUAGGCGACAGGUGUAAGCCCAGUAAUGGGUUCAGCCGAGUCGUACUAAUA
rnacentral:rRNA from 1 species